CUUCCCCUGUGGGAGUCCAGUUCCGAACUGAAGAUUUUACUACUAACAGACAAUGAAAAGGUUGCUGUAAGAUUAUCAGUGUCCCCAAUCAACAGGAUAUAAUCUGGAAAACUACACUCACCAGGGCUCCCUAAAGAGACCAAUGAUAACAAUCAAGACUGCUGGAAUUUUCUACUGAUCAUUGAGAAGAUGAGUGCCAUUGGAACUCUCUUGCUGUUUUAACUCUGAAAUACGCAUCUAGAAGGACCAAAAGAGGUUUGAGAGAUCUGAGGA